rnacentral:tRNA from 1 species
UCCCUCGUAGCUCAGUUGGUAAAGAAUCUGCCUGCAAUGCAGGAGACCCAGGUUAAAUCCUGGGUCGGGAA